rnacentral:rRNA from 1 species
AAUCAACGCUGGCGGCGUGCCUCAGACAUGCAAGUCGAACGCGAAAGUUCCCUUCGGGGGGCGAGUAGAGUGGCGCACGGGUGAGUAACACGUAGGUAAUCUACCUUUGGGCGGGGAAUAACAGCCGGAAACGGCUGCUAAUACCGCAUAAUGCAGCGGCUCGACAUCGAGACAGUUGUUAAAGCGGGGGAUCGCAAGACCUCGCGCCUAAAGAGGAGCCUGCGGCGGAUUAGCUUGUUGGUGAGGUAAUGGCUCACCAAGGCAUCGAUCCGUAGCCGGCCUGAGAGGGCGGUCGGCCACACUGACACUGACAUACGGGUCAGACUCCUACGGGAGGCAGCAGUCGGGAAUUUUGGGCAAUGGGCGCAAGCCUGACCCAGCAACGCCGCGUGAAGGAUGAAAUCCCUCGGGAUGUAAACUUCGUAAGAAUAGGAAGAUAAGUAGUAGGAUAAUACCCUGCACUGAUGACGGUACU